GGGGAUUUAGCUCAGUGGUAGAGCGCUUGCCUAGCAAACAUAAGGCCCUGGGUUCGGUCCCCAGCUCUG
rnacentral:tRNA from 1 species